GUGCUCAUUUCAGCAACAUGUAUAAUAAAAUUGGAAUGAUACAGAGGUUAGCAUGGCCCCUGCACAAGAGUGACAUGCAGAUUGGUGAAGUGUUCCAUAGGAAG